AACGAACGCUGGCGGCAUGCCUAACACAUGCAAGUCGAACGAGACCUUCGGGUCUAGUGGCGCACGGGUGCGUAACGCGUGGGAAUCUGCCCUUUGCUACGGAAUAACUCGGGGAAACUCGUGCUAAUACCGUAUGAUGUCGCAAGACCAAAGAUUUAUCGGCAAAGGAUGAGCCCGCGUAGGAUUAGCUUGUUGGUGAGGUAAAGGCUCACCAAGGCGACGAUCCUUAGCGGUCUGAGAGGAUGAUCAGCCACACUGGGACUGAGACACGGCCCAGACUCCUACGGGAGGCAGCAGUGGGGGAAUAUUGGACAAUGGGCGAAAGCCUGAUCCAGCAAUGCCGCGUGAGUGAUGAAGGCCUUAGGGUUGUAAAGCUCUUUUACCCGGGAAGAUAAUGACUGUACCGGGAGAAUAAGCUCCGCUAACUCCGUGCCAGCCGCCGCCGUA
rnacentral:rRNA from 1 species